rnacentral:rRNA from 1 species
ACCUUACCAGGUCUUGACAUCUUCUGCCAACCUAAGAGAUUAGGCGUUCCCUUCGGGGACAGAAUGACAGGUGGUGCAUGGUUGUCGUCAGCUCGUGUCGUGAGAUGUUGGGUUAAGUCCCGCAACGAGCGCAACCCUUAUUACUAGUUGCCAGCAUUCAGUUGGGCACUCUAGUGAGACUGCCGGUGACAAACCGGAGGAAGGUGGGGAGCGACGUCAAAUCAUCAUGCCCCUUAUGACCUGGGCUACACACGUCGCUACAAUUGAUGGUACAACGAGUUGCGAAACCGCGAGGUUUAGCUAAUCUCUUAAAACCAUUCUCAGUUCGGAC